CCUACGGGUGGCUGCAGUGGGGAAUAUUGGACAAUGGGGGGAACCCUGAUCCAGCCAUGCCGCGUGUGUGAAGAAGGCCCUCGGGUUGUAAAGCACUUUCAGUGAGGAAGAACGCCUGGUGGUUAAUACCCAUCAGGAAAGACAUCACUCACAGAAGAAGCACCGGCUAACUCCGUGCCAGCAGCCGCGGUAAUACGGAGGGUGCGAGCGUUAAUCGGAAUUACUGGGCGUAAAGCGCGCGUAGGUGGCUUGAUAAGCCGGUUGUGAAAGCCCCGGGCUCAACCUGGGAACGGCAUCCGGAACUGUCAAGCUAGAGUGCAGGAGAGGAAGGUAGAAUUCCCGGUGUAGCGGUGAAAUGCGUAGAGAUCGGGAGGAAUACCAGUGGCGAAGGCGGCCUUCUGGACUGACACUAACACUGAGGUGCGAAAGCGUGGGUAGCAAACAGGAUUAGAUACCCCUGUAGUC
rnacentral:rRNA from 1 species